rnacentral:misc_RNA from 1 species
UUCGAUAGAAUCUUAACUGUAGUUUCCCACAUGUGCUCGGUUAAUUCGUUUACUUUUGCAUUUAAUUUGAGUGCAGACAUAGUAUCACCUUCUGAUGCACAGCAAUUUACAGCUGUCUCACCAGCUGUGUUCAUUUCCCCAACUUUAGCCCCACGAGCCAGGAGCAAAAUGCUCACAGCGUAUUGGUCUUGUCUAGCAGCAAUAUGUCUGAAAAUAAUAACACAUUUAAAUUCAGGUAUUUCACAACGUCUACUCUGCCUUUACUGGCAGCUAGCAUCAAAGGGGUCACCUGAUUUUUGUUCAUAACAUCCAACUGCGCACCUGCUUGGAUCAAAGUGUGAACGCAAGCUAAGUGGCCUCGAUCAGCUGCAAUAUGUAAGCUUGUACGAUUAGCGUAAUCCCGGAACGCAUGAUUUGCAUUGUAGCCACAAGC